rnacentral:piRNA from 1 species
UCAAGCUGGUGUAUGACAAGUGCGACC